UACUUGUAGACACCUAAUAAAUU
rnacentral:piRNA from 1 species